GUUGAACGCUGGCGGCAUGCCUUACACAUGCAAGUCGAACGGUAACAGGUCUUCGGAUGCUGACGAGUGGCGAACGGGUGAGUAAUACAUCGGAACGUGCCUAGUAGUGGGGGAUAACUACUCGAAAGAGUGGCUAAUACCGCAUGAGAUCUACGGAUGAAAGCAGGGGAUCGCAAGACCUUGUGCUACUAGAGCGGCCGAUGGCAGAUUAGGUAGUUGGUGGGAUAAAAGCUUACCAAGCCGACGAUCUGUAGCUGGUCUGAGAGGACGAUCAGCCACGCUGGGACUGAGAAACGGCCCAGACUCCGACGGGAGGCAGCAGUGGGGAAUUUUGGACAAUGGGCGCAAGCCUGAUCCAGCAAUGCCGCGUGCAGGAUGAAGGCCUUCGGGUUGUAAACUGCUUUUGUACGGAACGAAAAGCCCCGGGUUAAUACCCUGGGGUCAUGACGGUACCGUAAGAAUAAGCACCGGCUAACUACGUGCCAGCCGCCGCGGUAA
rnacentral:rRNA from 1 species